UGGUUCGACGCUUCUAUUCUC
ensembl:piRNA 21ur-4991 ncRNA